rnacentral:rRNA from 1 species
GAAGAGAUUUGGGAGUGCUCGCAAGAGAACCGGAACACAGGUGCUGCAUGGCUGUCGUUCAGCUCGUGUCGUGAGAUGUUGGGUUAAGUCCCGCAACGAGCGCAACCCUUGUCAUUAGUUGCCAUCAUUUGGCUGGGCACUCUAAUGAGACUGACCGGUGACAAACCCGGAGGAAGGUGGGGAUGACGUCAAGUCCUCAUGGCCCUUAUGGGUAGGGCUUCACACGUCAUACAAUGGUCGGUACAGAGGGUUGCCAACCCGCGAGGGGGAGCUAAUCCCACAAAGCCGAUCGUAGUCCGGAUCGCAGUCUGCAACUCGACUGCGUGAAGUCGGAAUCGCUAGUAAUCGUGGAUCAGCAUGUCACGGUGAAUACGUUCCCGGGUCUU